ensembl:ncRNA C06G1.10 ncRNA
CCAGCACGCUGCACUCGCAGAGCACCGCGUCGCUGGGCCGACGUCUGGAGCCCUCUUCCUCCAUCAGCAGGCUCAGAGGACGUAUUGACUCCAGAUGGCUAGGCCCCUCCAGUGUGCUACCUGGAUGAUGUAAUUCUAGAUUCGGGAAGU